rnacentral:tRNA from 1 species
GGGGGCGUAGUUCAAUCUGGUAGAAUACUUGAUUCCAGGAUAUAUGGAAAUUCCAAGUGGUUGUCCGUUCAAAUCGGAUCGUCCUCA